UACGUAGGGGCCGAGCGUUGUCCGGAUUUACUGGGCGUAAAGCGCGCGCAGGCGGUCCGAUGCGUCGUGCGUGAAAGACCCCGGCUCAACUGGGGAGGGUCGUGCGAUACGGUCGGACUCGAGGCCAGUAGGGGGACGCGGAAUUCCGGGUGUAGUGGUGGAAUGCGUAGAGAUCCGGAGGAACACCAGCGGCGAAGGCGGCGUCCUGGACUGGUACUGACGCUCAGGAGCGAAAGCGUGGGGAGCGAUCCGG
rnacentral:rRNA from 1 species